rnacentral:rRNA from 1 species
UACGUAGGGUGCAAGCGUUAAUCGGAAUUACUGGGCGUAAAGGGCUCGUAGGCGGCCAACUAAGUCAGACGUGAAAUCCCUCGGCUUAACCGGGGAACUGCGUCUGAUACUGGAUGGCUUGAGAUUGGGAGAGGGAUGCGGAAUUCCAGGUGUAGCGGUGAAAUGCGUAGAUAUCUGGAGGAACACCGGUGGCGAAGGCGACAUCCUGGACCAACACUGACGCUGAGGAGCGAAAGCCAGGGGAGCAAACGGG